rnacentral:rRNA from 1 species
AAGGAUUCCCCUAGUAACUGCGAGUGAAGCGGGAAAAGCUCAAAUUUAAAAUCUGGCGGCUUUUGGCUGUCCGAGUUGUAGUCUGGAGAAGUGCUUUCCGCGCUGGACCGUGUAUAAGUCUCUUGGAACAGAGCGUCAUAGAGGGAGAGAAUCCCGUCUUUGACACGGACUACCAGUGCUUUGUGAUGCGCUCUCAAAGAGUCGAGUUGUUUGGGAAUGCAGCUCAAAAUGGGUGGUGAAUUCCAUCUAAAGCUAAAUAUUGGCGAGAGACCGAUAGCGAACAAGUACCGUGAGGGAAAGAUGAAAAGCACUUUGGAAAGAGAGUUAAACAGUACGUGAAAUUGCUGAAAGGGAAACGCUUGAAGUCAGUCGCGUCGUCCGGAACUCAGCCUUGCUUUUGCUUGGUGCACUUUCCGGAUGACGGGUCAGCAUCGAUUUCGACCGUCGGAAAAGGGCUGGAGUAAUGUGGCACCUCCGGGUGUGUUAUAGACUCUGGUCGCAUACGGCGGUUGGGAUCGAGGAACGCAGCGCGCCGCAAGGCAGGGGUUCGCCCACUUUCGCGCUUAGGAUGCUGGCAUAA